rnacentral:rRNA from 1 species
UAGGGAAUCUUCCACAAUGGACGCAAGUCUGAUGGAGCAACGCCGCGUGAGUGAAGAAGGUCUUCGGAUCGUAAAGCUCUGUUGUUGGUGAAGAAGGAUAGAGGCAGUAACUGGUCUUUAUUUGACGGUAAUCAACCAGAAAGUCACGGCUAACUACGUGCCAGCAGCCGCGGUAAUACGUAGGUGGCAAGCGUUGUCCGGAUUUAUUGGGCGUAAAGCGAGCGCAGGCGGAAUGAUAAGUCUGAUGUGAAAGCCCACGGCUCAACCGUGGAACUGCAUCGGAAACUGUCAUUCUUGAGUGCAGAAGAGGAGAGUGGAACUCCAUGUGUAGCGGUGGAAUGCGUAAAUAUAUGGAAGAACACCAGUGGCGAAGGCGGCUCUCCGGUCUGCAACUGACGCUGAGGCUCGAAAAGCAUGGGUAGCGAACAGGAUUAGAUACCCUGGUAGUCCAUGCCGUAAAACGAUGAGCAGCUAGGUGUUGGGGACUUUCCGGUUGCUCAGUGCCGCAGCAAAACGCAUUAAGCGCUCCGCCUGGGGAGUACGACCGCAAGGUUGAAAC